rnacentral:rRNA from 1 species
AGAGUUUGAUCCUGGCUCAGAAUGAACGCUGGCGGCAUGCCUAACACAUGCAAGUCGAACGAGACCUUCGGGUCUAGUGGCGCACGGGUGCGUAACGCGUGGGAAUCUGCCCUUGGGUUCGGAAUAACAGUGAGAAAUUACUGCUAAUACCGAAUGAUGACGUAAGUCCAAAGAUUUAUCGCCCAGGGAUGAGCCCGCGUAGGAUUAGCUAGUUGGUGAGGUAAAAGCUCACCAAGGCGACGAUCCUUAGCUGGUCUGAGAGGAUGAUCAGCCACACUGGGACUGAGACACGGCCCAGACUCCUACGGGAGGCAGCAGUGGGGAAUAUUGGACAAUGGGCGAAAGCCUGAUCCAGCAAUGCCGCGUGAGUGAUGAAGGCCUUAGGGUUGUAAAGCUCUUUUACCCGGGAUGAUAAUGACAGUACCGGGAGAAUAAGCUCCGGCUAACUCCGUGCCAGCAGCCGCGGUAAUACGGAGGGAGCUAGCGUUAUUCGGAAUUACUGGGCGUAAAGCGCACGUAGGCGGCUUUGUAAGUUAGAGGUGAAAGCCUGGAGCUCAACUCCAGAACUGCCUUUAAGACUGCAUCGCUUGAAUCCAGGAGAGGUGAGUGGAAUUCCGAGUGUAGAGGUGAAAUUCGUAGAUAUUCGGAAGAACACCAGUGGCGAAGGCGGCUCACUGGACUGGUAUUGACGCUGAGGUGC